UGGGGAAUCUUAGACAAUGGGGGAAACCCUGAUCUAGCCAUGCCGCGUGAGCGAUGAAGGCCUUAGGGUUGUAAAGCUCUUUCAGCUGGGAAGAUAAUGACGGUACCAGCAGAAGAAGCCCCGGCUAACUCCGUGCCAGCAGCCGCGGUAAUACGGAGGGGCUAGCGUUGUUCGGAAUUACUGGGCGUAAAGCGCACGUAGGCGGAUUAGUCAGUCAGAGGUGAAAUCCCAGGGCUCAACCCUGGAACUGCCUUUGAUACUGCUAGUCUUGAGGUCGAGAGAGGUGAGUGGAAUUCCGAGUGUAGAGGUGAAAUUCGUAGAUAUUCGGAGGAACACCAGUGGCGAAGGCGGCUCACUGGCUCGAUACUGACGCUGAGGUGCGAAAGCGUGGGGAGCAAAACAGGAUUAGAUACCCUGGUAGUCCACGCCGUAAACGAUGAAUGCCAGUCGUCGGGUUGCAUGCAAUUCGGUGACACACCUAACGGAUUAAGCAUUCCGCCUGGGGAGUACGGUCGCAAGAUUAAAACUUAAAGGAAUUGACGGGGUCAUAGCUGUUUCCUG
rnacentral:rRNA from 1 species